CUCCAGCUCUGGCCACACCUCGACUGGGACAAGGGCAAAAUGCAGAAAAAAUUUGUAGCCGAUACGCUACUGAGCCAAGCUUGUUGUUCCACCGUCCACCGUUUCGCUACUAAGAGACUGCCCUGCCCAGAGGGCCUGCUCAGUGUCGCCAGAUAAAGCAAUCAGCAGAGACAGAGAGAGUAACGAGGGGGAAGAAGAGAGAGGGUACAUACCCACUUCACCGCCAGCCUUCCUCUCUCACACUCCCAGACACAUCCUCUGCUCAGAGGCCAGCAGGAAGGGAAGGGAGGAAGGGAGACAGCGUCAGAGGGACGGAGGGAAAGCGGGCACUCCGCCCUCUAAAUGAUCCAGAUGGAUGUGAGCAGAGCCAGGCUCGGGGGAAGCGUCUGAAAAGGGAGUCUGUUUGAGAAUCAAAGCCCACCGGGUCCACCCUCUCUGCACACGCACAAAGGACGAGGGUGCAUCAGACCCUGCCCACCGAAGAGCAAACUUCUUG